AAUCUAUGCAUCAGGCAUUUCCAAAUUAGCUCCUUAAAUCGUUCCCAAGCUUCAUAUAGUGUCUCGUCCUCCGUCUACCGAAAAGAUGUGAUGUCAUUUAUAAGCUU
rfam:Gossypium raimondii chromosome 5, whole genome shotgun sequence.